CACGUAGGGGGCGAGCGUUGUCCGGAUUUAUUGGGCGUAAAGAGCUCGUAGGCGGCUCAGUAAGUCAGGUGUGAAACCUCCAGGCUCAACCUGGAGACGCCACCUGAUACUGCUGUGGCUAGAGUCCGGUAGGGGAGCGUGGAAUUCCUGGUGUAGCGGUGAAAUGCGCAGAUAUCGGGAGGAACACCCGUGGCGAAGGCGGCUCUCUGGACCACUACUGACGCUGAGGCGCGAAAGCCGGGGGAGCAAACAGG
rnacentral:rRNA from 1 species